rnacentral:tRNA from 1 species
GGAGAGUUGACAGAGUGGUCUAAUGUGCCUGUCUUGAAAACAGGUGUUCCGAGAGGAACCGGGGGUUCGAAUCCCUCACUCUCCG